CAAAUUUGAGAAAAUUUCCGUUACAACCCAAUAUUUAAAAGACAAGAACGAAGACGAGAGAUAUUUUGUGUUAUUAAUUUAUUUUGGAGCAGGAAAUUGUUCCGAGGAGAAAUGGAAGAACAGUUCUCGGCCGUUCAAAGAACGAAGUUAGAUGAAAGACGAGAGAAAUUAUGGAAUCGUUAGAAGCAGCGGGAUGUCUCGAUUACCUGUUCAUGAAAUUCCGAUGCAAACCGAAAGUCACUCUAUUUCAAUUGAAAAGUUUUCUCCCGAAAGCAGUUAUAUAUAAUCGGCACGACUCUAAUCGACAUUGCUAAUUGCAGGUGAGCAUAUAUUUUAAAUGAUUAAAAACUGCAGCCCGGCAUUGUGACCGUGUCACAAUAAAUCACCCCUCAUUAUUAAUAAUUAUAAAUAAUUAUAGUUUUAAAGUAUUCAUCUAUUUUCAAUAAUAAUCGAAUAAAAUAUUAUUUUUCGAAUUUCAUUUGUAAAUUUCGAAAAAAUACAGAAAUGAAAACAAUUGGAAUUUAAAUAUUAGAUGGUGUCACUUACUUUUUUCACAAAAUUGACAGUUCAUUUACGGAGAAAAGUAGCAAAUGCCCAUUCAGAUAGAAAAGUGGUAAACUGUAUUUAUAUUUCAAUUAUUGAAUAGAUUCUAACUUCUUUCCUGAUGAGUCAAAUCUUUCGCGAAGAAAUCGAAGGAACCGUGUCUAUUUGUUUUUCUGCCGUCGUCUUCGGUUCCAUCAGAAAUGAAAAGAGAAGAAGAAACGAGAAUAAAUAGCUUUAACACGCAACACUUCGCUCGUUACUACUGACGUCUUUUCGUUGUCUUUCGUGUAGAGAAAAGUCGAGGAUAGUUUCAUUUUAAACUCUGUUGAUACCUCACAAUUCUUUGCGUAUGUGAAGACAGAGUUAUGAUUUUGUUGUACUUUCUUCUGUAUGACGAAGUGAACGGAAGCUUAUGUAAAUCUAAUGCAGAAAUGGUGCUGAUCUGAAGAAAAUCUCGUUGACAUUUACGUUAGAAAGAAAAAAAAGAAAGAUUUCGUAACUAGCUGAAGACGAUUUAUCAGGUAAGAUUUUUUGAUCUAUCGAAUGGCCCUAGAGUUUGGUUUGUGGGGUGUGCUAACAAGUAUAGAAAGUGCUUUACGUUUUUCUGUUGAAUGAAGUUUCCUGGCUAAAUGUACACAAACGUAAGUACAUCUUUCAUUUUUUCUUACGCAUUGUUAAAACCACAAUUUUGAAGAAAAUGUGAGAAAUGGUUGUUUUUAAAAUUUUAAAAUCUUAAAUCAAAGCUGUGUAAACAUGAAAAUAAAAGGAAAGGUUCUUCGUAAAACACAGCAUUAUCUGAACUACUUGUUUCUAAACAUAGCGGAUAAAACUAAUUUAAAUAUCGUAAUAUUAAUUAAUCAAUGCUUUUCAUAUGUGUAUGUAUUUCUGUUUAAGAAAAUUAACUUAAAUUCGU